AGAAAAUAUGUGAGUUAUAUUAACAGCUAGAAGCACAUGUACUUAACACAGCCAAAAACAGUAAGGAAAUAAUACCAUGGUGGGACAAGUGUCCCAGGAACAAAGCACAGGGUCUCCGGAACUUCCCAAGCUUCUGUGAGAGGAAAAGUGCCAGCUCCAUGGCACUGCUGUUUUCUCACCUCAUCCUGCCCCUGCAUUUAGACUACAUGGGGUUUGGAGAGGAGGCCAUUCUCUCUGGCACCACCUCCUUGUAGCUCCUCUAGAUAUGCACGGGGUAUAAUUAAAACAACCUUG